GCCGCGUGAGUGAUGACGGUCUUCGGAUUGUAAAGCUCUGUCUUUAGGGACGAUAAUGACGGUACCUAAGGAGGAAGCCACGGCCCACUACGUGACACCCGCCGCGGUAAUAAGCCAGCCGCCGCGGUAAU
rnacentral:rRNA from 1 species